AAAAGAACUUGAAGAGAGAGUUCAAGAGGACGUGAAACCACAAGGGGCGAAACGGAGAGAGUUGAUAAAGCUGGCGGUGAUCAGUGUCGUCGAGUGCUCCGCGCUGCGUUAUUCGAUAGUUUGGUCGUUUGCGCGGUGUUUGGGUGGGUGCUUGGCGGUGCGCUUUCGCUGUUAGUAUACGCUGAGACGUUCGGUGUGUCCUUCUGAUCCGCGUUGCGUGGUCCACUUUAUUGUGGUAACCUGUGGCGUGGGGAGGUUGAUGUACGCGCUGAUCGGCAAAAAUGCGUUCAUGUGCGGAGUUUGCGAGCGCUCGUAGGCUGCAGCGUGAGUGGCUUGCCAUUUGCGUUGUGUGUUUGCUUGUGUUUGUGAGCGCUGCUAGAGCGUGUUCUCGGUGGGAAAGUCGACCACCUCUCCGACCCGUCUUGAAACACGGACCAAGAAGUUUAGCAAUUGCGCGAGUCAAUGGGUUGCAACACCUAAUGGCGAAAUGAAAGUAAAGGUCGACUUGUCGGCUGACAUGUGAUCCGUGGCUUCGGCUGCGGCGCAACAUGGCCCCAUGCUAAUUGCUUGCAAUGGUGUGGAGGUAGAGCGUAAUUGCUGAGACCCGAAAGAUGGUGAACUAUGCCUGAGCAGGAUGAAGCCAGAGGAAACUCUGGUGGAAGUCCGAAGCGGUUCUGACGUGCAAAUCG
rnacentral:rRNA from 1 species